rnacentral:rRNA from 1 species
UGGGGAAUAUUGGGCAAUGGGCGAAAGCCUGACCCAGCAACGCCGCGUGAAGGAAGAAGGUCUUCGGAUUGUAAACUUCUUUUAUCAGGGACGAAGGAAGUGACGGUACCUGAUGAAUAAGCCACGGCUAACUACGUGCCAGCAGCCGCGGUAAUACGUAGGUGGCAAGCGCUAUCCGGAUUUACUGGGUGUAAAGGGCGUGUAGCCGGGAGGGCAAGUCAGAUGUGAAAUCCACGGGCUUAACUCGUGAACUGCAUUUGAAACUGUUCUUCUUGAGUAUCGGAGAGGCAAUCGGAAUUCCUAGUGUAGCGGUGA